CGCACAUUGCGCCCACUAGUAUUCUGGUGGGCAUGCCUGUUCGAGCGUCAUUAAGUCCACUCAAGCUUCAUUGCUUGGUAUUGAGAGACUACUCUACCUGUAGCUCCCCAAAGACAGCGGCGGAGUCGUGUCACUCUCUGAGCUUAGUAAUUACUUCCUAGCUUGCGAGAGAGGCGCGUCCCCUGCCGUAAAACCCCCAUCUUUUUAAUGGUUGACCUCGGAUCAGGUAGGAAUACCCGCUGAACUUAA
rnacentral:misc_RNA from 1 species